AUGCCAUGGUGUGGAUAUUUUCUCAAUAGUUUCCUAAAUCACUCCCAAGCUUCAUAUAGAGAUUCUCCAUCAUUCUAGCAAAAAUUAUUAAUUUCUCCCCUCAGUUU